rnacentral:misc_RNA from 1 species
GAUGAAGAACGCAGCGAAAUGCGAUAAGUAAUGUGAAUUGCAGAAUUCAGUGAAUCAUCGAAUCUUUGAACGCACAUUGCGCCCGCCAGUAUUCUGGCGGGCAUGCCUGUUCGAGCGUCAUUUCAACCAUCAAGCCCCCGGCUUGUGUUGGGGACCUGCGGCUGCCGCAGGCCCUGAAAACCAGUGGCGGGCUCGCUAGUCACUCCGAGCGUAGUAAUACAUCUCGCUCAGGGCGUGCUGCGGGUUCCGGCCGUUAAAAAGCCUUAUUUACCCAAGGUUGACCUCGGAUCAGGUAGGAAGACCCGCUGAACUUUAGCAUAUCAAUAAGCGGAGGA